UUCAGAUGAAUAUUUAUCUAAUAUUUCAAGAUGUGUACAAGUGAAACAACACAAAAUAUUUGGUCUCAAAAGCUAUGAUUGUCAUCUUCUAAUGCAAGAGUUUCUUCCUAUAGCUAUAAAAGAUUGUUUGCCUAACAAAGUUAGUUUUGCUAUAGUUGAUCUUUGUCAUUUCUUCAAAGAACUAUGUAGUAAGGUGCUUAAUGAGUGUAAUUUGGAGCACUUGGAGCAUCGAAUAGCAAAAACAAUGUGUCAAUUAGAGAAAAUUUUUCCCCCAACUUUUUUCACUGUGAUGGUACAUUUAGUAAUCCAUUUGGCAUAUGAGGCAAAAGUUGCAGGUCCAGUUCAUUACCGAUGGAUGUAUCCCAUUGAAAGAUUCCUUUAUACUCUAAAGUCAUUUGUUCGUAAUCGGGCACAUCCAGAAGGUUCUAUUGCAGAGGGAUAUCUAGCUCAUGAAUGUUUGAAUUUUUGUUCACGAUAUCUUUCUGGGGUG